CAGUAGCCACGGGAAUACGAAGGGUGCAAGCGUUAAUCGGAAUUACUGGGCGUAAAGCGUGCGUAGGCGGUGAGUUAAGUCUGCUGUGAAAUCCCCGGGCUCAACCUGGGAAUGGCAGUGGAUACUGGCUCGCUAGAGUGUGUCAGAGGAUGGUGGAAUUCCCGGUGUAGCGGUGAAAUGCGUAGAGAUCGGGAGGAACAUCAGGGGCGAAGGCGGCCCCCUGGACAAAGACUGACGCUCAGGUGCGAAAGCGUGGGGAGCAAACAGGAUUAGAUACCCCAGUAGUCCCUGUCUCUUAUAC
rnacentral:rRNA from 1 species